rnacentral:rRNA from 1 species
GGACCCGCACAAGUAGUGGAGCAUGUGGUUUAAUUCGAUGCAACGCGAAGAACCUUACCAGGGUUUGACAUAGUACGAAGUUUUUUGAAAAAAAAUCCACCUUCGGGAACGUACAUACAGGUGGUGCAUGGCUGUCGUCAGCUCGUGUCGUGAGAUGUUGGGUUAAGUCCCGCAACGAGCGUAACCCUUGUUUUUAGUUGCCUUUCGAGGAUAUUUAGAAAGACUGCCGAUUAUAAAUCGGAGGAAGGUAAGGACGACGUCAAGUCAUCAUGCCCCUUACACUCUGGGCUACACACGUGCUACAUUGGGUAGAACAAUAAGUUGCUAAGUUGCGAAACCAAGCG